AUGUUUGCCCCUGCGCGGCGUGGUUCGCAGUUUUGGAAAGCCCUUAUUAAAGUUCGGCCGGUUUUUUUGGAGCACGUUAAGUUUUGUGUGGGUAAUGGGUCUGCUGUUCGUUUUUGGUUAGAUUGGUGGUCCGGGGAUGCUCCCCUGGCUGUUAGCUUUCCGGUUCUGUUCUAUUAUAGCCCCAAUCCGCAAAUCUCCAUCGCGGAGGUGGCUGCUAAUAAUUGGGACUUGGCUUUUCGUCGGGCCCUGUCUCCUGAAGAGUUGGAAGAAUGGCAAAAUCUUUCUGCCCUCUUCCCUGUGCUCUCGGAGGAGGCUGACUCUGUGGUUUGGCCACUUACGGCCUCUGGGCUAUUCUCGGUCAAAUCGUUGUAUUCUAGACUCAUUGGUGGUACUACUUCGGCUCGCUUCUCUUGUAUUUGGAAAUCUAAGGUCCCUCCUAAGAUUAAGAUUUUCCUCUGGCAAGCCUUCCGAGGUCGCCUUCCUUCUGCUGAUCAGAUCAAAAAACGCAAUGGGCCGGGCUCGGAAUUCUGUAACUUGUGUGGGGCUUUGGAAAACUCUAAUCACAUCUUUUUCAACUGU
rnacentral:rRNA from 1 species